rnacentral:rRNA from 1 species
CUCUCGGGGUUACAGCCUUGCUGAAUUAUUCACCCUUGUCUUUUGCGUACUUCUUGUUUCCUUGGUGGGUUCGCCCACCACUAGGACAAACAUAAACCUUUUGUAAUUGCAAUCAGCGUCAGUAACAAAUUAAUAAUUACAACUUUCAACAACGGAUCUCUUGGUUCUGGCAUCGAUGAAGAACGCAGCGAAAUGCGAUAAGUAGUGUGAAUUGCAGAAUUCAGUGAAUCAUCGAAUCUUUGAACGCACAUUGCGCCCUUUGGUAUUCCAAAGGGCAUGCCUGUUCGAGCGUCAUUUGUACCCUCAAGCUUUGCUUGGUGUUGGGCGUCUUGUCUCUAGCUUUGCUGGAGACUCGCCUUAAAGUAAUUGGCAGCCGGCCUACUGGUUUCGGAGCGCAGCACAAGUCGCACUCUCUAUCAGCAAAGGUCUAGCAUCCAUUAAGCCUUUUUUUCAACUUUUGACCUCGGAUCAGGUAGGGAUACCCGCUGAACUUAAGCAUAUCAAUAA